GCACUUGAUCAUCUCACAUCAUGAAGUCUAGUGUACACAUUGCCUGUCUUAUGCUUGCCCUUCUCCUUCCAGGCAUUGACGGACAGAGAGCACGAUUGGUUAAGGGCACAUCACGGUACAAUGGACGCCUAGAACUAUUUUACAAUGGAACAUGGAACACAGUGUGCAAUGACUUAUUUGAUGCAAAAGAAGCUAAGGUAGCUUGCAGGAUGCUUGGAUUUAACAGCUCUCGUGCCCUGGCCGUAAGGACAUCAAUGUACGGAGAGGAUUCGGCUCCCAUUCUGUUAGAUAACGUGCGAUGUAGGGGAUCAGAAGCUACGCUGAUGCAAUGUCAACACAAUGGAUUAUACAACAACGACUGUGGACAUCAGGAGGACCUUGGAGUCAUUUGCAGCAACCAACCAGAAGAGCUGCGUUUGACGGGCACUCGUCCAGACAUACCUGGUCUGGGCCGCGUAGAAAUAAAUCUAGCUGGUGAGUGGUACACAAUGUGUAUCCCAGAGGUCAACGUUUCCGAAGUCGUUUGUAGACAACUCGGUCUACCGUUUAAAUCAGCAGUACCUUUGAGGAAAUUUUCACUAGGACCACUCAACAAACCAAAGCUAUUGACCAGCCUGAAGUGCAAAGGUCACGAAGGCAGCGUCAUUGAGUGCGAUCAGGCGUCUUAUAACAAUCCAUUGGAAAUCUUUUUCUCCUGUAAUUCAGAAUCAGACUAUUAUGGAGUCUCCUGUGGCAUCUCCCCUUUGACUUUUAUCCAACUAAACGAAGGCCCAUAUCCUGCAAUGGAAGGAACAAAUAUUACUCUAGAGUGUAUCACCGAACAUGCUCUAACCAAUUACACCUGGCAAAACAAUGCAGGAGGUUUGGCUAAUGAAAGCAGCCUCGUUAUAAAUAAUCUGAACAGAACUCAUAAUGGAAAACGAAUACAGUGUUUGGCUGUUUCCCGUGAUGGUUUGAUUGUAUCCAGUAAUACCCUGAGUCUGCAGGUUUACUAUAAGCCGGUUAUCAGAAUCUACUCGGCCUCCAGUAACCCAUAUUGGUCUUCUCACAACACUAUGAGGUCACAAGAGGUCAAAAUGUCACAUUUUCCUGUGAAGCUCAAAGCAACCCUCCUCCUUCUUCCAUCACGUGGUCAGGAAGAAUGAACAGUACUACUCAUGAAUUACAUGUCCUAGAGGCCGAUCAGACAAAACACAAUGGAGUCUACACCUGCACAGUGGUCACUGGAACAGUGGAAGGUGAUAACCGUCUACCUCUGAUGUCCUCUUACCAGCUGGAGCUAAGUGUCGGAUUUCUAGGUAAGCAACUUCAAGAAACAUUUGUUAGUUUAUGACAUAGAUUUACAUACAUAAGACAUGUUGUCAUCAACAUUUUAUUUAUACACUGAAGUCAUGAAUGGCAAAAAAUGUUGGGCAAUUAGUCUGAAUGGUUAGUUUUAAUGUUUAUUACACACAAUCGGGUGUAAUCAGUUUUAAACAAGAGAAGCCUUAAACAUUUUUGGUAUUAUUAUUGUUAUUAUUAUAAUGUCUUUAGAAAAAAUACACAGUUAAAAUAGAGUUUUAGGAAUAUCACAAAUUCUGAAAAUAAAACAGUUUUACGCUGCAAUAUAUUUAAUUUGGUUAAAAUAAUUUUCAUUAUACACCAUUUUAAUAAUGUGGUUGCUAAGCAGCCAGUAAUUUUAAUUUUUUUGUGCACUUUAAUUAAGUUUUGAUUUUGAUCUUACUACUAUGUCUUUAGCUAAUGCAAACUGGACUAUCAUGGGCUAAUAGAUUUAUUUGAGUUUCCUUCUUCACACAGGCAUGCAGACAAACCUCUCCUUUUACUCAUGCACCUGAUUUAUAUAAUAGCUGAAGGGGAAGAAAUAAGAAAACAAUCAUUAUAUACAGAUAUACAUGAUUUUUAUCUUUUUUAAAUUUUUAUAUAGACAAUAUUGCAUUAAGAGAUUACCUAGAAUACACUACAUGCUGCAGUUUUCAAUAAUAGAAAUUAGAGGUAUAAAUUUUAUGAAACAAAUAGUUUUUGAAUUUUGAUGUUGUUUCUUUCUUGCACUACCCACAUUUCUUUAAGGCAGAAUUAUUCUUAUUUAUUUCUCACUUUUCUCAUCUUUACCUUUGUCGCAUUGAGCUUCAAUAUCUCCCUGACCAGAAAUGACAAAGCUAAGAAGCUUGCAGGCAGUUUAUUUAUACAUAUUUCUUUACCAUUUACCGCAACAAAAUAACAAAAUUUAAAACUAAAGCAUCAUAAUUAAAUUUUGUUAUUUUGUUGCGUUUAAAAAGGAAGAGUUGUAGAAAGGUUGUAAGAAAAAUAUCUUGUUUACGUGUAGAUUUAUGAGCUACCGCCUUUCUUAGCAAGCGCGUACUGUCAUGAACGCGCUUUUAUAAAAUCUCUUUCUCACUCUCACAACACGCACGCGUUCCCUUGCGUAUUCUUUCAAACAUAUAGCACAAAGAUUUGUCGUGGAAACAAAAAUAACUUUAAAUCAAUCCAACAUCAACUAAAUAUAUACAUAUAGUCAGUAGAUCUUCCACACAGCGAUCUUCAACUCUAACAGUUCUCUUACUGUCACUGAGACGGCAUACACAUGUCCAUAUCUAUAUACUUCAAUCUGUCAUAUGUUUUUGGAAUAAAUUCAUUAGAGUCUUAGUUACUCACACUUGACUGAUAUCCACCCACACAAACGACUUGAGGCAACCACAUAUACGUUCCAAUGCUUAUUAAUAACAGGUGCUGACUCGGCAGACACCUACAGACGACUCAAAAUAUAUUUGCUGGGGAUCACACAUGACCCAGGCACCACAAAUAUACUCCAGGCACCACAAAUAUACUCCAGGGGCUCACACAGAUAAACUUGCAGGGAUCGACACACACGCAAUAUCCCAAGCGAACACCACACACACUUUACGUCCGCCUUUCUUCCCUGCUCACAGCCGUCUGCUUUCUUCCAAAUAUUUUGUCACUUGCGUCUCUAUCCAAUUACGUCACUUUUUUGCGUCAUAAAAUGACGUCGGGUUCUGACGCGAAACCGCGACGUAUCCAACACACUCAUAAAUGCAAAGCAAUAAUCUUUAACAAAACGAAAGACAGGGGCAACAACCUCCUGUCCCUAAUACUGGUCCCUGACACGGACACACAGUGGAGUGUAAACAAUAAUCUUGAGAGCUGUUUACCUUUUGUGUGUCAAUACGCACGACACACACACUACACCAACAUCGAUGUCCGUGUUUGACAUGGGACAUUAUAGACCUGCUCACGAGAGAUUUCUCUUAAUCUUAUUUCACAUUUAGUGAAAAAAUUUUAUUAUUAUUUCCGUUCGAUACACGCCUGUUACUUUUUUCGAGUAUUUCCAGGAGCAGAUAAGUAUAUUUUUAUUAUUCUUUAUAAACUUAUCCAUUUAGUAAAAGUAUCUGUCAUUGUUAUAACAAGCAGAACAGUUUCAAUAAUAGUAUCGUGCAUAAAUGUAAAUUCCAAUCAUGGUGAACAUGUCUUUCAAGAGCUAAGGUUUUUAAUGCUUACAAAAACAAAUCAGUGAAAUGUACCAUGCUUCAGAUAUGAAGAGUACUGACAGCAAUAUUGUGUGCUUAGGUGAUGGAUUGUAGGUGUAGUCUGCUGUUACCUUCUUCCCAUUAUUAUGAUUGGACUGCUGAACAGGGAAAAGCAUUCCUACUGAACUGGAAACGGUGGACAAGAUGGCUCGAUUCUUACAAGGGAACAUGGAGCCAAAUCUGUGAUAAUAACUUUGGAGACAUCACAGGUGGUAUACGCAACGACUGGCUGAGGCAAUAUUCUAACUGAUGUUCUCUCUCUCACACACACACAGAUAGAUGAUGUCAUUCGCAAUAUAUGGCGCGUGGACACGUGACCGUGCUGUACCCCGGUUGUGGCCAAGCCUUCCUGCGGAGCUGCUAGGGCGCGAACCUGCGAGCAGGGAUCCUCUAACUAAUGGUCUGCCGACAUUUCACACCUGCAGAGGGCCCCUGGGGGUGGAGGGCAGUACCUGGACAAGAGGAAGUGGGGUCAAGGCUGCAGCGCCACAAAAGCUGUUUGUGUCUGCAGAAUAGCCACAUUGAAUAAAAUCUCAACUUUCAACUUCCAAAUCUUAAUUUCCUCUCAUCAACUCACGUAGAUGGAGAUGGAGUCAUCAGUAAUGAACAAAAACCGAAUAUUGUUAAGCCUUGGAUAAUUAACUGUAUACAGAGCUGUCACUUAAGGAGGAUUUAUGACCAGCAGAAAACACCAGUCAGGCUUAUACCUAUUUAUAAUUCCUUUUAACUGUUUAGAAAUAAAAGUGUGGAAAGAAAUAGCUAAUAACAAUAAUGCACAAAACUUCAAAUGUAUCAUGGAAAUUUCAAAAAUUAUCAUUUCAUGUUAACGACACAAAAACAAGAAAACAGACAGACAGACCAUUAAUAGAGCAAUGCUAAAAAAAUUACUGCUAAUUUCAUACAUUUUUUUCUCUUUUUGUGUAGUUGUCCGUGAAAGUGUAGAUACUGUGCUGCUUAAUGCUGAAUAUGGCGAAAGGGGCAUAAACAUCGUCACAUGCUUUCAUCUCAUUUGUUGUUUCCCUUGUUUAAAUACCCGUACACAAAACGAUUUUGUUUCUUGCAGAAUCUUUAUAAUUCCUUUAGUACAUUACAUACAAUACAAGAAUAAGGCAGGAAAUCACUGUAUUGUAUUCUCUGUGUUGAGUAUUACAAAGACAGAUUAAACGGCUGAGACUAAUUGUGUUUGUUGAUAGUAGCUUGUUGUAAACUCAGUCGGCAGGAGU
rnacentral:misc_RNA from 1 species